UACGUAGGUUGCAAGCGUUGUCCGGAUUUACUGGGUGUAAAGGGCGUGUAGGCGGAGAUGCAAGUCAGAAGUGAAAUCCCGGGGCUCAACCCCGGAACUGCUUUUGAAACUGUAUCCCUUGAGUAUCGGAGAGGCAAGCGGAAUUCCUAGUGUAGCGGUGAAAUGCGUAGAUAUUAGGAGGAACACCAGUGGCGAAGGCGGCUUGCUGGACGACAACUGACGCUGAGGCGCGAAAGCGUGGGGAGCAAACAGGAUUAGAUACCCUGGUAGU
rnacentral:rRNA from 1 species